CUAACUACGUGCCAGCAGCCGCGGUAAUACGUAGGGUGCAAGCGUUAAUCGGAAUUACUGGGCGUAAAGCGUGCGCAGGCGGUUUUGUAAGUCUGACGUGAAAGCCCCGGGCUCAACCUGGGAAUUGCGUUGGAGACUGCAAGGCUUGAAUCUGGCAGAGGGGGGUAGAAUUCCACGUGUAGCAGU
rnacentral:rRNA from 1 species